UCAAACAUAGUAUUUGAAUAUGUCAGUACAUAACAUAUGAAUAAAAACACAACUCUGUAUAUAGAACUUCAAAAACUGGCAGUUAUCAAGCCAGAAUGUGUAUCGUAGAGUCUUGUCAUCUUCAGUGUAGUUGCCUGUACUCUCAGACUUGAUACUAUCAAUCAUAUCAGUUUUGAAUAAUAUCUUCUCUGCCUCAUUUCUGUUAUGCUUUUCUUUGCCAUCUUCUUUUGCUUAUCUUCUUCAUUCUAUUUUUUGCUCCAUUCAAUGAGGCUUCUCUGCCACUCUUCCUGGAAUCCUAAUACUUUUCUCUCUCUAGAAUGCCCUGCAGUAUUCUCUGAGAGUUGGAUUGGUGGUUGCGAAUUUCCCAAGUUCCUUUUUGUCUUGGAAGCAUCUUGUUUCUCCAUUAAUUUCUAAAGACAGUUUAGCAGGGUAUAUCAAUCUGGAUGGAGGUUAUUUUCUUUCAGGGCUUGGAAUAUUUUGCUCCAGGCUCUUCUUGACUUGAUGGUUUGCGUUGAGAAAUCUGCUGUUAUUCUGAUGGGCCUUCCUUUAUAGGUGAUCUGUUUCUUGUCUCUAACAGCUUUUAAUAUUCUGUUCUUAUAUUGACUUUCUGGGAUCUUGUUUAUUAUAUGCCUGGGUGUAGCUCUGUUUGGGUUGUAGGUGACUGGAGUUCUGUAUGCCUCAUAUAUUAGAAUAUCAUUUCCUUUUCCUAUGUUUGGGAUUUUUCCUUAAUUAUUUCUGUGAAUAACAUUUGUAGUUCCUUUGUUUGUACCCCUGCUUCUUCAUCCACGUUCUUUAUUCUCAAGCUAUAGAUCCUCUUGUCGUCUUCUAGCCUUUGUAUUGUUGCUGCUUGUUGCCUUGUGACGUUUAAAAAGUUUUCCCUUUCAUAUUCCCACAUUGCAAAACUGUCCUUCAGUUUGGAUAAUCUAUCCUCAGUUUCUUUCAAGCCAAUUUGCCGUCUUUCCAUAGAGUUUUUAAUUUUCUGGUGAUCUUUUUGAAUCUGCUUCAUGUAAUCUAUUUAUUUUUUAUGUUCUUCAUCAAAUGGUUCUCUCCUUUGAGUUCCUCCCUUCUUUCAUCAGUGUCUGCUUGAGGGGUGCUUAGUAUCUCUUUUUUUAAUCCUCUUAUAUCUGGCUUUACUUGGCUAAAUAUUUCACUUUUCAACUCGUCUAUGAGGCCCCAAAUAUAUGUCUUUUGUUUAUCUUUUUUCAUAGGUACCGGGCAUCGAACUCACGACUGCCUACUUGCAAGGCAGGUGCUUAUGCCACUGAGCUAAAUCCCCAGCCCCCUCAGCCAGAUAUGUCUCUUUAUGUCUCCUGGUGCCGUGUCUGAUAGUGCGUGUUUGGUGUUCUCAAUCUCCUUUGUAUUUCCUGUCCUGGCUCAAUGUUCUCAGGGUUGGGACCUGGGGACUUUUUGUUGUUGCUUCCUCUUCCCAUCUGUUUUGCUCCUUCCAGGAGGCCCCAGUUUCUUUCUUUGUUGGUUACAAUUCCUCUGAAACAUGCUGGCUAGAUGACCCUUCCCACUGCCGUGUGCUAGUGAGUUGCAGACAGAUAUACUGGCCCGUCUCUUCCAGGUCAGUCAAGCUGCUGAGGCCUGCACUGUUUUACUUUGUGCCACCUCCCCUCCGGAUCAGUCAAACUUCUGAGGCUUCACUGAGUUACUGUGGUGAGUGUGCGCCACCACUGUAGGGACCUGAUUUCGGAUAACCUAUUGGGUCUCAGCCUGGUCACAUGACCCAGGCCUAGCUCACUCCACCAAUCCCGUUCGGGAAGGGAACAACUGACUGAAGUCACUGAUGCCCUUGUACUUGCCAGUCCUGCCCUGUCCCAGAAUGUCUUCGGUCAGAGCCCCCCUUUUGUGGAAUGAUUCUACUCCUGUCAUCACCUCGGGUUGAUGCAGGCACCCUGCCGACUCAGCUCUCCAUUCAGCUCGCCGACCCCCAAGCUCAAUGUAACUGUGCCUCCAGUGAGUCCAAGCGGUGGGACUCGGGACGACUCGGCAAGCUGUGGCAGGACCAUGGGCUCUUGGUCUGAGAACCACCAAACCAGAGAGAUAUCCCGCUGGAAAUGAGAUUCAGCUACAGUCUGACAGGGAUUUACACUUAGCCUCUGACAGACUGACACACUCAUCUCCUCCCGCCUCCUUGGUGAAUCAACAGGGUUUUUCUCUCCUGUGUGUGGGGGCGUGGAGGGCAUGGCUCACCCUGCUCACUGCCUCCUUCUGCUUUACUCCUGGACUUGUACAGUGAGUGAGCACUUUCUCCUUGUUUCCCGAUGCUAACUUUGGAACAGAGAAACACAAUAGAUUUUUCCAGGAGGAAAUAUUCAACCAGAGUCUCCAGUUUGAACAGACAGAGCAACUUCCUCCUUGGGUGGGGGCCAUCUAAUCCUGCAUCCAAGCAGACAUUCCUUUGGGGUGUGUGGGGGAGGGAGUGGGGGUGGGGGUUGACAGAGGAGGCCUCAGGCUUCUCUGAGCCACUGGCUGGCUGACCUCAGCAGUCCCUAACCCUCACCCUGUGCCAGACCUAAGCCUAACCAACCCCUGGGGUCCACUCCCCUGCCCUCAUCCAGCACUCCCCUGCCUGGCUCCAAAGGUCCCAUCCCACUUCCCAUCCCACUGGAAAUGCAUUAGCUAGCAUCUGACAUUGACUGGUCAUGGGCUCAUCGGGAGUAGGGGUCUGUAGCCCCUCACCGCGGGAGGGAGGGUGAUGGCAAAUGGGGCACACGAGGCUGUGCUCCAGAGAGAGGGUUGGUCCCUCUGGGCAGUACGGGAACUGCUCCCUCCUGAACCUCAGGAGAGUAUCUGAUAUCAGGCUGCUUGGUGACCCCAACCUUGGCCCUGGAGGGUAGCUAGUGGCACAAUGCAGACUCUUGUUUGAGCCUGAAGGUAAGGGUAGGGGGGAAACAAAACCCCAACACUGGAGGCCCCGUGGAGGGAGGGAAGAUUGACAGCAGGGAAUCAUUCGAGUGGCUGUGCCUCCUCUUCAGAAGGACUGAGCCCAUUCCCAGGACACACUGGAUGCCGACCCAGCCCUACACACACACAAAACCCUGAUUUCCCCUACAGCCCAGAGAGAGACAUCAGAAGGCACUUUUCACCACCUCUCUCAUGUCCCUCAUCAAGGGUGCUCUGGCACCCUUGGCAGCAGGUAUCAGGGUGGCUCCCUCCUGGGCAGCCAGCCAGCCAGCCAGCCAGACAAACGGGGACAGGGCUGCAGGUUCCUCAAAGACAGGCCCCAGAAAAACUGGCCCAUCUGUGUGUUGACACAGUUCUUUUUCCUUCACUUGCCACAGACAGGUAGAUGAGUCUGUGUGACCCUCUGUCCAUCAGUGUGCCACCGUCUGGUGCUCCCCGAUGGGCUCCUUCCUGGGUCAUGGCCUUCCUUAGGGAUCCCCUGACCCCUUGACCUGUCCAUGGUAGAGGGCCCCGCUGGGGCAAGACAUCCUCCCCCCCCCCCUCUCACUCACACACACACACACACACACACACACACACACACACACACACACACGUGCACGCUAGAAACAGGCAGGCAGGAUACGUAUCUAUAGCCACCCGAGGGUACUGGCACCUCAGAGGGUCCUGGGAUCCAGCAGCAGCCACCAGAGGUUGGAACCAAGCCUAGUGGCCUGCAGACUCCAACCAAAGCCUCGGUCCCACGUGGGAAGCCCUCCCUGUACAAAAUAUACACUCCUUGAUCUGAGCCAACAGAUGCUUGUGUUCUGCACCGACUGCCACACGAGGUGAUCGUCUGCAAAAAGGAGAGAGAAAUAGUCCUCACUACCAUGCCAUCAGCUUCCCUGCCUGCCACGCUUCUGCUCGGAUGAGACAGCGUCCCCUGGUGGCUAAAGGGGACACACACAUCAUCCUCAGAGGGCAGUGGUUAGCACCUCAUGGAACUCGUUGUUGCAUAUGGCAGCUGGAGACAUCACGAGCCUUGGGCACCGCAGGAAACGUGGUGUUGUGAUCCUUGGGGUAGAUGGCGUUCUGGGCAGCUAGCUCCAGCCUCUUACAGCUGAAAAGAGAGACAGGGAAGAAACACUGGCCUCAGAUGCAAGGCCACGGGUAAUCCUGGGAAGAUGCCGGUCGGUCCCCAGAGAAGGUGGUGUGCAGAGCACCUCCCUUGGCUUCCACAACCUAAAAACCCUAAUGCUGAGCCUAACCUUCCCAAACGGGCGACCUCCUUCCUUCUGCGCCCCGCUACAACACGGGACAGGUCUAUCCCAGAACGAAUGUGUCGCGUGCCACGCGCGUGUGUGAUGUCUCUCUCUGCCUCCCUCAGUGGACUUCUGAAUCUUCCACUGUGGCUAGGUUCUCGAGCUGCGCCCUCUGGUGGCCAACGGUUGGAAUAGGCGGUGGCCUCAGAGCGCUGACAUGGAAACUGCCAGCUUCCAAAGCCAAUGCCUUUCGACCUAAGGGGCUAACCAGGACUGGCCGGAGGCUGUUCAUCGCACAUUCUCCACCCAACCCCUCACCCCAGGAGGCGAGUGGCGUUCGGGUGGCCUGGAUGUUGGGUGUGGGGGUAGGCUUCCCUAAGCCACUGGCUCACUAAUCAUCACCCUCUGCUAACCCUAACCUCCUGCCCCCGGCCACUCCUCUGCUCUAUGCAUCAUAUCUAUGGCAAACUCCUCACGGUAACACCCUGUAGUCUUGAGGUUUACAAGUGUAAGGGUGUUGAAGUUGACUGUCAUGUAUGGUUUCUAUGGGGAAUGAGUUACCCCUUGUUCUAUGAGCUCAUUCACAUACAUUUCUAUUGCAGACUCGUUCAGUGCCGACAGAAUCACAAGAACUGGAAUGUAUUUCAUCCACAUUGGGUUUCCUAGUGUUAAAGUUUACAGAUAUAAAAAUGUUCAAAUUGA